rnacentral:rRNA from 1 species
GAAACUAACAAGGAUUCCCCUAGUAGCGGCGAGCGAAGCGGGAAGAGCUCAAAUUUAUAAUCUGGCACCUUCGGUGUCCGAGUUGUAAUCUCUAGAAAUGUUUUCCGCGUUGGACCGCACACAAGUCUGUUGGAAUACAGCGGCAUAGUGGUGAGACCCCCGUAUAUGGUGCGGACGCCCAGCGCUUUGUGAUACAUUUUCGAAGAGUCGAGUUGUUUGGGAAUGCAGCUCAAAUUGGGUGGUAAAUUCCAUCUAAAGCUAAAUAUUGGCGAGAGACCGAUAGCGAACAAGUACCGUGAGGGAAAGAUGAAAAGCACUUUGGAAAGAGAGUUAACAGUACGUGAAAUUGUUGGAAGGGAAACGCUUGAAGUCAGACUUGCUUGCCGAGCAAUCGGUUUGCAGGCCAGCAUCAGUUUUCCGGGAUGGAUAAUGGUAGAGAGAAGGUAGCAGUUUCGGCUGUGUUAUAGCUCUCUGCUGGAUACAUCUUGGGGGACUGAGGAACGCAGUGUGCCUUUUGGCGGGGGUUUCGACCUCUUCA